GACGAACGCUGGCGGCGUGCUUAAUACAUGCAAGUCGAACGGAAAGGCCCUGCUUUUGUGUGGUUCUCGAUUGGCGAACGGGUGAGUAACACGUGAGUAACCUGCCCUUGACUUUGGGAUAACUUCAGGAAACUGGGGCUAUUACCGGAUAGGAUCUCCUGCUGCAUGGUGUGGGUUGGAAAGUGUCGGCGGUUGGGGCUGGACUGGCGGCUUACCAGCUUGUUGGGCUGGUAGUUGCUUACCAAGCCUUUGACGGAUAGCCGGCCUGAGAGGGUGAACGGCGACAUUGGGACUGAGAGACGGAGCAGACUGCUACGGGCGGCAGCAGUGGGGAGUAUGGCACAGUGGGCGGAAGCCUGAUGCAGAAACGCCGCGUGCGGGAUGACGGCUUUCGGGUUGUAAACAGCUUUCGACUGUGACGAAGCGUGAGUGACGGUAAUGGGUAAAGAAGCACCGGCUAACUACGUG
rnacentral:rRNA from 1 species